GUGAGAAGAAGCGAGCCACAUAGAGCAGGACAAGUUUAAGGAGCAGCAGCACAGUGCGCCAUCCACACCCUGUACGGAAGCAGUACAGAAGCAGCACAGCCAGGCUGCAUCCAUCCUCCCAAGCAGCGGUAUGAAGCAAGCUCUCAUGGAGGUCAUGAGGAUGAAUCGGAUCUGCAGGAUGGUGCUGGUCACUUGCUUAGGAUCUUUCGUCCUGGUCAUCUUCUAUUUCCAAAGUAUGUUACACCCAGUAAUGCACAGAAAUCGCUUCGGAAUGGAAAUUUGCUGCCGGAAGGGGUCACGUAGUCCACUCCAGGAACUCUACAAUCCAACACAGGUAGACCUCUCCAGCAUUGUUGU